rnacentral:lncRNA from 1 species
CUAUAACUAAUCAUAGUCUGCUAUUGACACGCACGUGUCGUCACGAGUAUUAACUUGUACUGCAGGUUUUCUGCUACAGAUUUAUUCAUUUUUAAAUUGUUCUCGAAGGAUUGAAUAACUUUAAAUUAUGGAUCUAAAACAUAAAAUAUAAGACAUUGGAUAUACAUAAAUGAGACAGUUGCAGAUAAAAAAAAAAAAAAAAACCCACAUCAACAGACGGUCUUCUAUGAGAGGCAAAUGAAUGUACAAAAUGUCCAGCUAUGAUUCGUAUCAAAUCUAGAAGAAGUCAGGCUCAGUUGUGAGGAUAUGUAACAAAGUCUUUCAAACCAUGACAUUCAUAC